rnacentral:rRNA from 1 species
GAUGAACGCUGGCGGCGUGCCUAACACAUGCAAGUCGAACGGGACUAUUUCGAACUGAGGCUUCGGCUGAUGAUCGGUUUAGUCUAGUGGCGGACGGGUGAGUAACGCGUGAGCACCCUGCCCUUCGGAGGGGGACAACAGCUGGAAACGGCUGCUAAUACCGCAUAUUCUGCAUCGGUCGCAUGGCUGAUGCAGGAAAGAUUUAUCGCCGAAGGAUGGGCUCGCGUCUGAUUAGCUAGUUGGUGAGGUAACGGCUCACCAAGGCGACGAUCAGUAGCCGGACUGAGAGGUUGAACGGCCACAUUGGGACUGAGACACGGCCCAAACUCCUACGGGAGGCAGCAGUGGGGAAUAUUGCACAAUGGGGGAAACCCUGAUGCAGCAACGCCGCGUGAGGGAAGAAGGUUUUCGGAUUGUAAACCUCUGUCUUUGGGGAAGAGUAGAAGACGGUACCCAAGGAGGAAGCCACGGCUAACUACGUGCCAGCAGCCGCAGUAAAAC